AUGUGUGAAUCUUUCAACAACUACAUCCUGUUAGCUAGGUACCUUGCUAUUGUCUCAAUGCUUGAGUGGAUCAGGUGCAAAAUUAUGGUGAGGGUACAAGAAAAUAGAGGGAAGUCAGUUAACUGGAAAGGAACUAUAUGUCCCAACAUUUUCAAAAAACUGAAGCAAAACAUAAGGAGAUCAGGUUUCUGCCAUGUGCUGUGGAAUGGGAAAGAUGGAUUUGAAGUGCAAGAGCAUGAGAAAUUCAAAUUUACUGUUAACUUGCAGCUCUGGACUUGCUCGUGUAGAUAUUGGCAGCUGUCAGGUUUACCCCGCUGCCAUGCCAUUAGUGCUAUCUAUAAAACAGGACAGAAAAUUGAUGAUUAUAUUGCUCCUUGCUACUCCAUAGAAGUGUACAACAAUAUAUAUGAUCAUUGCUUACAACCUUUGGAGGGAGAGGAGAGUUGGCCUAUUUCAACAAAUCCAAAGCCACAACCACCUGGUCACAUUAGCUUGCCUGGAAGGCCUAAAACAGAAAGAAGGAGAGAGGAAGGAGAAAAACCUAAGGGUACUAAGAUGAGCAAAGUAGGUGGCAAGAUCACUUGUAGUUCUUGCAAAAGGCAAGGACAUAAUAGAUCAAGCUGUAAGAACAAUGAUGGAGCUAAACAUCAUGGAAAUGCUCAUUUGGUCAGAGAAGCUGCAAAACAAAAGAAGCAAGACAAAGAGGCUUUUGAUGCUCUUCAGACACAGAAAGUUGUGUUUGAAAAGCAGGUUAAGAUGACACUUGUUAGUACUAAUGAAAAAUUGGUUGCUUUUUGUUUCUACUAA
rnacentral:rRNA from 1 species